UAGGGAAUAUUGGGCAAUGGAGGGAACUCUGACCCAGCCAUGCCGCGUGCAGGAUGAAGGCGUUAUGCGUUGUAAACUGCUUUUAUAUAGGAAGAAAUAGUCCUUGCGAGGAAAGUUGACGGUACUAUAUGAAUAAGCACCGGCUAACUCCGUGCCAGCAGCCGCGGUAAUACGGAGGGUGCAAGCGUUGUCCGGAUUUAUUGGGUUUAAAGGGUGCGUAGGCGGUUUAUUAAGUCAGUGGUGAAAGACGGUCGCUCAACGAUUGCAGUGCCAUUGAUACUGGUAGACUUGAGUAUGAUUGAGGUAGCUGGGAUGGAUAGUGUAGCGGUGAAAUGCAUAGAUAUUAUCCAGAACACCAAUUGCGUAGGCAAGUUACUAAGUCAUAACUGACGCUGAGGCACGAAAGUGUGGGUAUCAAACAGGAUUAGAUACCCCCGUAGUCCCUGAGCGGGCUGGCAAGGCGCAU
rnacentral:rRNA from 1 species